AUGCAAUACAUCCCAGACUGCUACAUAAAACACAGGCACAUGAAGCUGUCACCUAAGCCCAACUGUACCAACCGAAGUCUACCAGCCUGCAAUGAAGAUGUCUUCCCUGGCCUCCGAGAGACAAAACAAGGCCCAGUUUUUGUACAUAGAAGGCCAGCCAGGUUCUCUGAGGACUAUGGAAAGAGGAAAGAGAAACUAGGAGCAUUUCCUUUAAACCCACGUUUGAUUUCUUCACAGAGUUAUCGUGGCCUUCAGAACUGA
rnacentral:lncRNA from 1 species